UACGGAGGGUGCAAGCGUUAUCCGGAUUUACUGGGUUUAAAGGGUGCGUAGGUGGGUCUGUAAGUCAGUGGUGAAAUCUCCGAGCUUAACUUGGAAACUGCCAUUGAUACUAUAGAUCUUGAAUACCGUGGAGGUCAGCGGAAUAUGUCAUGUAGCGGUGAAAUGCUUAGAUAUGACAUAGAACACCAAUUGCGAAGGCAGCUGGCUACACGAAUAUUGACACUGAUGCACGAAAGCGUGGGGAUCAAACAGG
rnacentral:rRNA from 1 species